GGGCGGCGGAAGGAGGCGGAAGCUUGGAGGGGUUAAAUGGUGGCGUCCUUCCUCCUGGUCCUCCCGGGAGUGUUGGUGCCGCCGUGGGGGCGGGUGCCCCUGGUACGGCCUGUGCCCGCUGGAAUCCCGCUCUCCACCUACGCCUACCGCGCGGAGCGGGAGAAGGAGCGGCCGCCGAGCACGCGGCCCUCUGCGACCUGGGGCCCUGGGUGAAGUGCUUCGCCGCCCUCGCCUCCAGAAUCCUUGCCCAGAGUCCAGCGCCUCUGUCCUGUCCAGGAUCAACUUCUGGUGGAUCACAGGGCACCCUGGCAAAUCCAGGAAACAGCUCUGCCCAGCAGCUGGCUCCAGGUGGGCUGAGUGGAAUUCUGGAACUCCUGCCCAUGCUACCGAGAAGACCUGGAUUUUCUCAGGCACACCAGCGUCAACACCAAUGGGGGAGAAAAGGUUGGCAUCGUGGGGCAGAUGAUGGCAGACAGGAGCUGGGACGUCGUCCCUGACCCUGGGCAUCUUUCGGAUCAACGAGUCUGCCAAAAGGAGUGAUCACUGUUGACAUCAACAUCGCCAAGAUGGGCCUGCAUAACCUCCACUUCAAGAUCACCAUCAUCCCCAGGACCCUGUUUUGUUUUCGGGUUCCUUCUGCAUGAACCUGAACCCGUUCAGCUAGUACUUGAUGGUCUGGAUGUCCCUGAAGCUGGCUCACCUGAAGGACUUCAUGUCAGCCCUUCCUGAUAAGCUGGACCACGAGUGCCCAGAAGGUGGAGAGAACCUCAGUGUGGUUGUGAGGAUUAAGAAAACGAAGGUCUAGAAUGGUGCUCAAGAAAGGUGGUUAACAACUAUGAGGAGGAUCUUUAUUUGGAACCAGCCCUGCCCUACUGCAGCAUUGAGACAACUCUAGCAAGCUGGCUCGGCCGCCUUGAAAACAUCCAUCAUGCUGGAAGGCAUUUGUUCAUCCCACGAAAUGGCCCUAUGGGGACCUAAUCACCUUGACCAACUGGACCAAUUUUGGUGAAUUAUCCCUCAGCAGGGCAUCAUGGAGGAACUUCAGCAGGUGCUCCAUCCCUAAUGUUGUUGGUUGCCCCCCUAAGUGCCUGAGAUGCAGGUAGUCCCCUCAGCUACAUCAGCUUCAGCCUGUACCUUUCUGAGUGUGGCAGCAUGGUGGACUCACCUCUCAGGUCUAAGCUGGGCCUCCUGCCUGUAGAGGAGUCUCUAGGGUCGGUCCUUGUGCUGGUCCCAGGCUCUGUUUCUGCAAGGUCAAGAGAGUCCUGUCACACAACACGGUCCAGAUACUCACUUGGACACCCAUUGACCAUGUGGCCUUAACUGCUCUGACCUCCAUUUUCCCUGUUCUGGCUCCUGCCACCUCUCCAGCAACCUCAACACCCCACUCUGAGUUCUUCCAGGAACAUCAUUCAGGCAUUCACUCAACUCAUUCAUUUUUUCAGUCAGUGAAUAUAAUUGAGCACCUGCUGUGAACCUAUGUUGGAAAAACAGCAGUGAACACUGUUUCCUCCAACAGCCUUGCUCAAGCAGUUCCUUGGGUCUGGAAUGCUCUUUUCUGGCUAACUCCCACUUACCCUCAGGUACCAUCUCUCCCAGGAAGGACACCUCCCCACCACCAUCCCCCAGAUGUGCCAGUUACUGAAAGCAGAGCUGUAGAACUUUAACCACAGACCUGUAAGCAAGAAAUGACUGCUCGUGUAAGCUGUUGGGAGUUGGUGGGGCCAUAUUUGUUAACCAGCAUCAUCGCAGCAAAAGCUGACCAAUAAAAACAGGAAAGUUCUAGCUUCAAGCUUCAUGACUGGGACACUGUGAAUCAACCAGCCAGGGUGGGCCAAUGCUAAGCAGAUGUUCUCAGAAGAGACAAAGUUGGAGACUGAGGGAGACCUGGGUGUGAGUCCUUGCUUGUCAUGCAGGGAUAGUAAAAAGCCUAGUGACUGAAAAACACAUUCUCUGGAAUCAAGCUGUUUGGGUGCAAAUCCCAGUGCUGCCACUUACAGGCCACGUAACCUGGGACUAGUUCCUUUACUUUGGGGCCUGUUAUCUGUGAAAUGGAAAUGAUUCAAGUCCCAGCCUCACGGGGCACUAAGUGGAUUCAGUGAGCCGAUACAUGUGAUGUGCUAUGAGUUGCUACUCUGCAGUCUUUGUGGGUGAGCUUGGCUUGACAACUUUACUUCCAGAACCUUGUCAUGUGUCCAGCGCAUGUUUUGUUCUUUGGAUUAUUAGAAACUCUAGCUGGCAUGUUGUAGCUUUCUAGGCACCAAAACCUGCUUGUGCUGUCUCCAUAGCAACUGCAAGCAUGGACUCUGGAGUUGGACACACUCAAGUUCUAAUCUGGUGACCUUGGGCAACUGAUUUAACUCUCUCGGCCCAUCUGUAAAAUGACAGCAGUAACUUCGCAUGCCUCUGAGGGGACGGCGAGAAUCAAAUAAAACGGCGUCUUUCUUACAGAAGCACUUAGCUCAGCCCCUGGCUCGCAGACAGUGUUAUUGGCUCUUCUUAGAGAGAGGGGACCUAUUGGAGAGCCGUCUGCUUCUGGGCAUAAGCCUGCAGGGAGGGUGUGACCAGAGCAAUCCACUCUUGCCAGCAGGACCCUUCGAGCCUUUUUUCCCAAGGGUGGCAAGAGCCAGGCACAGAGCAUCAGCAAAGCCCACCUGGUACCUCCUUCUCCUCUAUCUCCUAGCUGUCUGGCUUGAUCCAGAAGACUCAUGAGGGUCCUCUUCUUGUGCAGAAGCUCCUGGUAGAAACCCAUCUCUAAUAUGGCCCCAUCUGCCAGCACCACGAUCCAAUCAGCCUGGGGCAGGAUGUGGAGUGCAUGGGUCACAAGAAUCUGUCUGGGCAGGGAAGGGUUAAAAGUUAACACACACAUGGCCACAUUCCAUGGCUCACGCCUGUAAUCCCAGCACUUUGGGAGGCCAAGGCAGGUGGAUCACUUGAUGCCAGGAGUUCACGAGACCAGCCAGGUCGACAGGGCUAAGCCCUGUCUCUACUGAAAAGUACUAAAAUGAGCUAGGUAUGGAGGCACACACCUGUAGUCACAGCUACUUGGGAAACAGGCAUGAGAAUCACUUGAAACUGGGAGGCGGAGGCUGCAGUGAGCUGAAAUUGCACCACUGCAUUCCGUCCUAGGUGAUGGAGCAAGACUCCAUCAAAAAGAAGGGAGGGAGGGAGGAGACAGGGAGAAAGAGAAAGAGGGAGGGAGGGGAAGGGAAAGAGGAGGAAGGGAAGGGGAAAGAAAGAAAAGUUACACACAUGUGCUUGGCCAGCCUCCUGCAGCAAGGGGUUGGGGUGGAAGUAUUGUCCCUGGACUCAGAGUGGGGAGAGCUCCCCUUCUUGUGCUCCUGCCAUCUUUCUUGAAAAUAUCAUUUCCAAAUAGAGAAACAGAGGGGACUCCUUCAGCCUGCCUCAAGAAGACAAGGAGUCCAUCUGACCGAGGCCAAUCAUCCAAGGCAGAGCUGUAGUAGUUAAACCACAGAUGCAUAAGCAAGAAACAGAUGCUGCUGUAAGCUGAUGGAAUCUGAGGGGUUGUUAUGUAGCAUCAGCACAGCAAAAGCUGAAAAAUACAAAGAGGAAAAUUGGACUCAGGUGAAAGGGGGCAGUGAGAGAAACCUGGGUUAGGACUGGAUGCUAAGGGCAUCCUCUGCCUUUGCCCUGUGCCCUCUGACACAUGUUCCCAAACUUACUGUUCCCUGGAGUAGCACGCCAGGCCUGAUGACCUGGUUGAAGACGUGCUGGCCAACGUGAACGUCCAGAGCCACCAGGGGAUCAUCCAGCAGGUACACAGCUGCCUUUCUGUACACAGCCCGGGUGAAGCUCGGCUGCUGCUUCUGGCUCCCUAGAGAUUCAUGCCCUGUGGCCACAAAAGGAACAGUGUCCUGAGUCUGCAUCUACAGGGUGAAACUGGGGAGCCCAGGCAGGAGCAGGUUGGGGCACAUCUGCCCAUCAGGGUGAGGUGUAGCUCCCCGUGUCUCUCCCCUGAGACAUGCUCGGCUUCAAAGGCACUCCCAAGCCGGCAUCCCCUGCACCCUUACCAGCCUCACUUUUCCCCUUCCCAGCAUGCUGCCUGGAGGAGUUACCUGCACUUCCCAAGCUACUCUGUCUCCUACUCACACUCUGUAUCCAUUUGAGGCCAACUUCUGUUCCCUUUCUCCACUGAGACCACCUAAUGAAGACACCUUUCCUUUCUCUAUUCUGUGAUCCAGUGGUAACUUUUCAGUCCUACUUUUAAAACAUUUUAAAUUGUAAUUGAUUUAGUUAUUCAUAUGUAAUAGUUGUACCUAUUUGAGGGGCACAGGUGAUCAUUUUGAGACCUGUAGAGCAGUGGUCCGCAACCUUUCUGGCACCAGGUAUUGGUUUUGUAGAAGACAACUUUUCCAUGGGCCCGGGGGCAGGGGGGUGGUUUCACGAUGCUUUAAACACAUUACAUUUAUUGUGCACUUCAAUUCUAUUAUUCUUAUCAUAUAUUGAGAUGGACUUUUGUGCUUGUGACCCAGGCUGGAGUGGAAUGGCAUGAUCUUGGCUCAAUGCAACCUCUGCCUGCUGCGUUCAAGCGAUUCUCCUGCCUCAGCCUCCCGAGCAGCUGGGACUACAGGUGCCUGCCAUCACACCUGGCUGAAUUUUUAGAUUUGUAGUAGAGAUGGGGUUUCACCAUGUUGGCGAGGCUGGUCUCGAACUCCUGACCUCAGGUUAUCUGUCCAUCUCACCCUCCCAAAGUGCUGGGAUGGUAGGCAUAAGCCAUUGUGCCUAGCUGCUUCUAUUACUAUUACAUUGUAAAACAUAAUGAAAUACUUACACAACUCACCUUUAACGUAGAAUCAGUGAGAGCCUCAGCUAGUUUUGCUGAAACCAGAUAGUCCCUCAGGGGGCAAUGGGAGACUGCAGUAGAUCACCAGGCAUUAGAUUUGCAUAAGAAGCAUGUAGCUGCAGGGUGUGGUGGCUCAUGCCUGUAAUCCCAGCACUUUGGGAGGCAAAAGCGGGUGGGUCACAAGGUCAGGAGUUUGAGACCAGCCUGGCCAACAUGGUGAAACCCCAUUUCUACUAAAAGUACAAAAAAAAAAAAAAAGAGCCAGGCGUGGUGGCACCUGCCUGUAAUCCUAGCUACUCAAGAGGCUGAGGUGGGAGGACUGCUUGAACUUGGGAGGUGGAAGUUGCAGUGAGCCGAGACUGCACAACUGCACUCCAGCCUGGGGAACACAGUAAGACUGUCUCAAGAAAAGGAGGAAAGGAGAAAAAGGGAAGGGGAGGGAAAAGGGAAAGGAAAAGCAGGUGUAAGAAGGGUGUAAGGUGCACUAGCAUGAGCAGGGUUGCGGUGAUGAUGGUGGUGGUGGUGGUGGUGGAUAAGUAAUCAGGGAAGGCUUCUCUGUGAAUGUGACAGAAGAGAGGGAUGAGCCCUGGGGAGAGAUUUCCAACACUGGGAACAGCAGGUGCAAAGGCCCUGGGGACACAGUGUGCUGCGGGGGAUCAGGGAACAUCACAGAGACUCUGGAGGCUGGAGUGAAGCCGGGAGAUGACGAUGGUAGAUGGGGAUGAUGGAUACUAGGGCAAGGUGACAGGGACCUUGCCAGGGACCGUCACGACUUGGGCUUUGACUCUGAGGGAAAUGGAGAGAUCACCCGAGGUCAGGAGUUUGAGACCAGCCUCGCCAACAUGGUGAAAUACAGUCUCUACUAAAAAUACAAAAAUUAGUCAGGUGUGGUAAUAGCAGCUACUCAGGAGGCUGAGGCGUGAGAAUUUCUUGAAGGUGGGAGGGGAGGUUGCAGUGAGCCAAGAUUGUAUCACAGAGUGAGACUCCCAUCUCAAAAAACAAAACAAAACCACACAAGUGGAGGGCUGGGUUUGGCCUGGGGCCAGUUUGCCAGCUCCUGCCCAAGCCAUAGCUCCUGUGCAUGUAUCCGUGUCCUGGACAUCUCUGUUCAGACCCUUUGGUGAGACCCAGAGAGGGGAGGCAAUUCGAUCAAUGUCACCCAGGAAGGCAGGGCAGAGGAAGACAGUCUAGUCUUCUCACUCUCAGUUGUCAGAGAGCCCCUCACUGCCAAUCCCUACCACAACUCCUUCCCUCUCUGUGUCCAUUUCUAUUGAUUAAUGAUUAUUUAUUGGGCACCUAGUAUGUGCUUGACCCUGAGCUGAGCCCUUCUUCUCUCCCACUUCCCUGACCACUUCCUGCAUUUCUCCAUCAUACUGCCCACGAUGAGUCAGGGACCCAAAUGACCCCCAAAUGCAAUGCCUCCCUGACCCAAAUGACCCCCAAAUGCAAUGCCUCCCUGACCCAAAAGACCCCGAGACUCUCACCUGCUCCCCAGAUGAAGUGUGGACUCCUGCAGGGACGCUGUCCACAUCUGGCCAUAGGGCACAGGCCUCUAGGACUCUCUCCAUCCAGGCUUGGUCCAGCUCCUGCCUGAGGCACACAUUCUCCACCACAGAGGUGUUCGGCAUCCACCAGGCCUCCACCAAAAAUUAAAACACAACUUACUUUGGUCAUAGAAGGAUGAUGGGGACAAACAUAUGACAGGUUUUGAGGAGCAGUGGGAGCUCGGCUCUCGGUGGUGGGUGGGUGGGUGGUGGAGAGAAUGAAUGAAAGUGAACUUGGCUGGGAUGGGGAGGGGUGGAAAGGCAUCGAGGAAGAUGCCUUCAGGAUGAUGGGGAUAUCCUAGCAGACAGGCAGGGGGUGGCAUCACCUUCCUGCUCACAAACCCCUCCACCUUUGACAGCUCUCCAAAGAGGACAGACCGCAGGGAGGACUUCCCUCUCACCACUGGACCAACUGCUACCAGGAAACAGCCCUGGGGCACGAUGGAAACACGGAGGCUGAGAGAGAUGAUCUACUUGUCAGGAUCGCCCAGCUAGUCAGUGCCGGGACUGGGAUUUGGACCUGGGCGGUACAAUGCCAUCGGCUAGGCUUUUUACCACGAGGUGAGUGUUUUUCAGGUACACAGUUUGCCCAGGUUCUUCAGUACAACAAGGGGGAGGGUGGCUUGGUCUGUGGGGUGACAAAAGGAUGGGGUGGAAGGGCAAGCCCAGGUAACGAGUCUGGGGAGUCUCAUGGUGCAAUGGUGCUUGCAGUGAUGCUAUUUCCUUUUUUUUUUUCUGAGAUGGAAUCUUGCUCUCCCAGGCUGGAGUGCAGUGGUAUGAUCUUGGCUUACUGUGAUUUUCCUGCUUCAGCCUCCUGAAUAGCUGGAAUUACAGGCGCACGCUAAGACACCUGGCUAAAACUUGUAUUUUAGGAGAGACAGGGUUUCACCAUGCUGGCCAGGCUGAUCUUAAACUCCUGACAUCAUGAUCCGCCCACCUCUGCCUCCCAAAGUGCUGGGAUUACAGGAAUGAGCCACCAUGCCUGGCUUGCAAUGAUGCUAUUUUCUAGCUUGACCAAAAUGUUGCCAUGCUUAUCUUGGACUUUCUGCAUGAGAACAAGGACCCGGUCUGUUAGAGCAGGAGUCCCCAGUCCCCAGCAGACUGGUACCAGUCUGCAGCCUCUCAGGAACUGGACCAUACAGCAGGAGGUGAGCAGAGGACAGGCAAGCAUUAUGUCACCUGUGUUUACAGCCCCUCCCCAUCACCUGCAUCACCGUUUGAGCUCCACCUCCUGUCAGAUCAGCAGCGGCAUUAGAUUCAUAGGAGCAUGAACCCUACCGUGAACUGUGCAUGUGAAGGAUCUGGGCUGCAUGCUCCCUAUGAGUGUCUAAUGUCUGAUGAUCUGUCACUGUCUCCCAUCACCCCCAGAUGGGACCAUCCAGUUGCAGGAAGACAAUCUGAAAUAUUAUUUCAUUACACAUUACAGUAUAAUAAUAAUAAAUGUAUAAUAAUGUAAUACGUUUAAAUCAUCCCAAGUCCGCACACCCCACCCUGGUCCACAGAAAAGCUGUCUUCCACAAAACCAGUCCCUAGUGCCAAAAAGCUUGCAGACGUGCGUUAGCAUGUUUCCUGCUGUGCGCCCAGGAUGGCACUAAGUGGGUGCUCAGUGAGUGGUUGCUAAACGGCUAACAGAAACAGCAGCACCAUGUCUGUUUCCAGUGACACACAGAUGGCGUGAUCUGCAUGUGCCAGUCCACUGCCUGCAGCCCCCAUCUGCCCCCAGUGCUGAUGCUGGCUUGCCAUUAUGGACCAGAGUGGCCCUCACGCCCCCAUCCCUCCCACAUCCCUCCUGCCAGACUCAGCACUCACAGCGUCCAGAGGGACUGAGUCCACUGUAACAAGCUCAACUGCUUCCAGGCAGAGGAAGGCGACCAGAUGGUCAAAGGACACCCGGGCCUAGGGAAACCAAAGCCCCAAGUCAUCCAGCGAGAACAGCAAAGAACUCAGGCUUUGGGUCUCGGUGUCUCAAGAUGUGUGGCAACAGCUUCCUGUCUACCAAGUUCUGCAUGUGUAAGGCGUGAGGACAAAGCUUUCCAGUCAUGGGAAACAAUGCACCCCGAGUGGUGACCUUGAUGGUGGCGAUCUCCCACCUCCAGGCUCCUACCAGUGAGCUGCCAUUCCACAGACAAGAUCCGGGAAGAGGAUGGUGGCUUUUCCAAUAAGGUUAUUAAGCCAUUAUAUGGAACAAUUUCAAAUGUUGUCCACCUGGGGGUGCCCUCUCCCAGUCACAAACCCAUCUUUGGGGAAGAGACCAGUCCAUAAAACAGAGAUGAGGGGCUGGGCGUAGUGGCUCACGCCUGUAAUCCCAACACUCUGAGAGGCCGAGGUGGGUGGAUCGCCUGAGGUCAAGAGUUUGAGACCAGCCUGGCCAACAUGGUGAAAUCCCGUCUCUACUAAAAAUACAAAAAUUAGCCAGGCAUGGUGGUGGGUGCCUGUAAUUCCAGCUACUUGGGAGGCUGAGGCAGGAGAAUUGCUUGAACCCAGCAGUCAGAGGUUGCAGUGAACAGAGAUGGCACCACCUUGAGUGACAAGAGCAAGACUUCUUCUCAAACACACACACACACACACACACACACACACACAAGAUUAGGCCAGGUGCAGCGGCUCAUGCCUAUAAUCCCAGCACUAUGGGAAGCUUGGGAAGCCAAGUACAAAGUGCAGGAGAAUCACUUCAGGCCAGGAGUUCAAGACCUGAGCAACACAGCAAGGCUCUUGUCUCUACAAAAAAAUUAAAAAUUAGCCUGAUGUGAUGGCCCAUGCCUGUAGUCGCAGCUACUCAGGAGGCUGGGAGCAUCAACUGAGCCCAGGAGUUUGAGGACACAGUAAGCUGAGAUCACAUCACUGCACUCCAGCCUAGGUGACAGAGUGAGACCUUAUUUCAAUCAAUCAGUCAGUAAAACUGAGCGUGGUGGCUCAUGUCUGUAAUCUCAGCAUUUUGGGAGGCCAAGGUGGGCAGAUCACCUGAGGUCAGCAGUUCAAGACCAGUCUGGCCAACAUGGGGAAACCUCAUCUCUAAUAAAAAUUCAAAAAAAAAAAAA